GCAAUCCCUUGUAGCAGAUUCCCCCAAUAAGAUACAGGACUCUAGAUUGAGGGUGAAGUAGAACUAGUUUAAUGAGCACAAAGGCAUUUCUUAUAUACAGUUUUCCCCACAAGGUUACCACCCACAUGGACCUUGUGGUGCACAGGACACAAAGUCACAACAGCCAAUCAACAUAGUAUUGUACAGUUAGACACUCCCAGCUAAUGCACACAAACCCUCC